rfam:Stegodyphus mimosarum contig6173, whole genome shotgun sequence.
GCCUUCGUUGUGCAGUGGUCAGCACGCUGGGAGCGUAUUACAGAGGUCCGUGGUUCGAAUCCCGGCGAGGGCA